UUAUUGCCUUCUAUUAACAUGCUUUCUGUCAUCUGCUCUCCUCUUGUAAUACUCUUAAUGUCCAAAUGGAGCCAUGGAAACUCAGUGACCCAGACAGAAGGCCCGGUUAUUCUCCCAGAGGGGGCCCCUCUGGUCCUCAACUGCACUUACCAGACUACUUAUUCAGCUUCGUUUCUUUUCUGGUACGUCCAGUAUUUCCACACAGCUCCUCAGCUCCUCCUGAAGACUGCAACAGAAAACCAGCCGGCAGAGAAUCAAGGGUUUGAGGCCACGCUUGUCAAGAGUCACAGCUCCUUCCACCUGCAGAAACCCUCACUGCAGCUGGCAGAUUCUGCUGUGUACUACUGCGCCCUGGGGACACAGUGAGGGGAGCUGCAGCAGGCCCUGAGCAAAAACCCAGAGCAUGCAGGAAGCUGAGGGGAGCAGCCCUGACAGAGGAUGCUUGUGUCCUUCUCUUCCUACGAGAUGUCCAAGCAGUUUCCCCAAGACCAUGA